AGUUGGACACAGUGGUUGGAUAUGACAAGAUGGUAGAAGAAACUGACGUCUCUGAGUUGCACUAUCUCCAUGCUGUUUUCGAAGAGACGCUCCGACUAUACCCACCUGUUCCCUUUCUCAUUCCACAUUGCAACAGUGAAGCUUCAACACUUGGAGGCUAUGAUAUUCCAAAAGAUACACAAGUAAUGGUUAAUGUAUGGGCAAUCCAACGUGAUCCACAAGUGUGGGAGAACCCAUUGGUUUUCAAACCAGAGAGGUUCAUCAAAGAUGGAGGUGGAAAGACUUAUAAGAGCAGCGAUUUCACGUUUUUGCCUUUUGGUUCAGGUAGGAGGAUGUGUGUGGGGAUGACAUUGGCACAUAAGAUGUUCAUGUAUGCCAUGGCUUCACUGUUGCAUUCCUUCGAAUUCAGGCUUCGUGACGGCGAGGAGUUGGAUUUUGCUCAAAAAUUUGGAAUGGUUUUACAGAAGAAAACACCACUUCAGGUCAUACCCACACCAAGACUCCCCACUUCUCAACUCUAUUAUUAAUGAUUACUUGUGUG
rnacentral:lncRNA from 1 species